rnacentral:rRNA from 1 species
UACGUAGGGUGCAAGCGUUGUCCGGAAUUAUUGGGCGUAAAGAGCUCGUAGGCGGCUUGUCGCGUCGAAUGUGAAAUCUCAGGGCUCAACUCUGACAUUGCAUUCGAUACGGGCAGGCUAGAGUUCGGUAGGGGAGACUGGAAUUCCUGGUGUAGCGGUGAAAUGCGCAGAUAUCAGGAGGAACACCGGUGGCGAAGGCGGAUCUCUGGGCCAUAACUGACGCUGAGGAGCGAAAGCAUGGGGGAGCGAACAGG